rnacentral:sRNA from 1 species
CUCCCACCCCCACCCCCAUCCUCAUUUCCUCAAACACUCAGGUGCUUUCAGAUUUCAGUCUCAGCCGUGGACAUAGGGAAUUUCUGGCAAGCUCCGAGCAAGACACACCACCUUUAAGAAGAGUGUCAGAUUCCAAGGAAGUUCUUUCCUGGUCUUGUGCCCUCCUACCUGAAGGGAGAGAAUCCCUCCCACCCCCUACUUCCCUGCAAAUGGCUGCACUCUGGCUUACAGAGAGCACAUGCCUGGUAACUUAGCUCAGUGGCAGGCCAAAACCCUUCCCCAAGACUGGAGAGACGUGGUGUUUGGAGCAAUGUCCAAUCUAAGCGAUGACUCCUCGUAACUGCUGAUUAUCUGUUACUGCUGCCCUGAGCUGGGGCCCAAGGGCUGGGAAUCUGUUGGUGCUACCUUGCCCUGCCAUUUCCCCAGCUCACAAACUUCCAGCAGGAAGUGCUGUUUGGGUAGUUGUACCACACCCACCUGCCCUUUGUUCUCAGAUCAUGUGUUUACCUGUCAGCUUUGCCAACUUAGCAUCUCCUGGCCUUUCUGACUCAGUCACAACUUUCAUACCUUCAACAGGAGUCUGUAUUUCCCCCAGUUUCCUCCUCCCUAAGUUCCUGUUGAGGUUAGCUCCCAUCUCUUCUCGAGGAAAGAACAGUGGUUAUAGAGGCAUUUGCGCUUUAUAUAAAAAUUGCAAGUAGGAUCUGCUUUUAUUUCCCAAAGUCUGUCUCUGGAAUUGAGACACUUGAACUCAGGCAGAGGGAUGAGGCUGGGGCAGGGCUGUCCCGAGUUUGGGGGCCUGAUCCCUGCACUUCCCUGAAACCUCAGAAUCUCCUCUCUGAAUACCCCUGCCUAGUUCUCUCCCCUUCAUCCUCUCUUCCUACAUUGUCAGAGUGAAAAAGCUCUUUGUGAAAAGGAAGAGAAAAAACAUCUUAUUUUCUUUUUUAAAAAUUUUAGACCAUGAAGAAAAUAUUUUUAAAGAAAUUCACCCAGGACAUUAAAGUUCACUAUAUUACAUAUUUAUCAUGUGUGAGAAUGUAAGUAUAUAACUGCAGCUAGUAGCCCCUCCCUCCUUCCGUUCCUCAUUUCUUAGGCUGUGUGAGUAGGUUUGCUCGGUGCCAGUCCUGUGCCCUUUGCUCUCCUGUCAUCAGUAGUUGUGAUCAGAAAAAGAUAUCUGCACUGCACUGUCUCCUUUCACUAUGUUGUGUGUUCGAUUACAGUAGCUCUGUUUCAUGAAAUAAACUGUGAAAUGGGGGGUGGGGGGUGCAGGCUAUGUAAAAAUUUUAAGUGGAGAAGUUUAACCUUCACAUGGCUUCUCUACACUAGUUUGAGUAACUGAUUGGCUUGACUGCUGUCUAGAAGUGACUCCCAGGACAUGAGGGAGCGAGGUGGGGGCACAGUUGGCCACUUGUCUUUUGUUUUGAGAUUUCCAUUCACCACCAUUUGUUGGAGCCUUCCCUUCCAGACCUGCUGGGAGAACGUCUUCUGAGCUGAGUACUGGGUGUGGAGUAGAGGGAGUGGGGGUGUAGGUGAACAACAGUGGACCUCAUUCAGAGCAUCAGAGCACAGUGCUAGAACUGGGCAUUGGUUUCUGGGCCUCAGUACCACGCGUGCUGGGAUGGAGAACCCUGCAAUUCCCCUGGACUGCUUUGGCUCCUGUAAUAGCCCUUCCUUCAAGGGUGCGAAUUGGCAGCAGAGAAAUGGGUGGUAUUUUGGCAUUAGCAUUUAGCUUACAUUUUGGGUGGCCAGAGAGUCUGCCAGUGAGACAGCUCCCAGGAAGUAGUGUCCAGGGACAAGCCAAAGGCAGAGAUGUUCAUAGGUAGUAACUAAUCCAUCUCUUGUGUAGUUGUAGGGCAGACAAUAUAAGGGAAUCGUUCCAAUUUGCAUUCACAUCUCAAUUUUCCUCCCUGCCAGAGCCGACCACUUCAAUAGGUGGUAGCCAUUAUUUACCACCCCAAAGUAUUUUAGAUAUCUGCGUCCCUAAAAUUACUGUCACUGUGUCAGGCCUUGUUUGUUUUUUUUUUUAAACCAAUUCUGCCUCUUUGGUACUUAUGCUCUACCCCACACUACAGUCUGGGCUUGAAGUACAGCACUGAGCCUUUGUGGCUCUGCACUUCAAGUUCACUGAUGCUGGAAUUAAAAGGUGUUUCCCAGUAUUGUUCCAGAACUAACAGGAAGAAUGCCUAGGUUGUCCAUCCAGGGCAAUCAGGGGAGCCUUCACUUUGAUGCACACACCCACCUCUCUGAGUUGAGAUAUUGUCCUCCUUUUGGGGUUUGCCAUUGGAUGAGAAGAGGCCCAAUGUUCUCACCUCCUAGACCACAGGACAGGAGUGGCAGCAGGAAUUUACUGCUGUUAAAAUUGAACUAUUCAUGUUAAUUAUCCCAAGUCAUUUAGACCUAGGUAGCUACUGCAGGAGCUUUGAUUGGCUGUGACCAGUUCACUCUCAGUUGAGCUUCCUAGGUCAGUACAGAAGUUGCUAUAGUGUAAAUUGAAAUAAAAAUAAUUGCUUUGUACACAAAACAAUGUAAUGAUGGUGCUAAUCUCAUGGUAUAAGUAAGCACUGCCAAGGGUUGAGGGAGUUGUGACUUGAGAAACCCAGGCUCCUGCUUGGGAAGAGAAUGCAUAUAGGUUCCUUUCAGCUCUGAGAGGAGGGAAGCAGGCAGUGUCAGUCAUGCCUGCCAGCCCUACCCUAGAGUGUUUCAGUACAAUCCAGAGGAGGAAGAGAUCCUGUGUCAAGAUGAUGGCCACUGAGUUGCUUAGGGCUAGUAUCACCUUGACCAUAGCCUUUGUCCAUCCUGCCCAGGAAAGGUCAGAAAAGAACUAUAGAUGUGGAAUAGCCAUUACCUUCUGCUUCUCUACCUCUUCCCCUCUUGCGGCAGCGUCUCAAUUGCUUGUGAAGAAUAAGGGCAGUGUUUAUGGACAUUGGAAGAGCUUAUUUUAACUAGACAACUACAACCUCAAAAGAGAUGUUUCCUGAUCAGUAGAAGCAAAACACAUUAAACUCUUGUGGUUCUUCCCAUAUAGCAGCCUUCCUGUGACGUUAGAACAUCAGUCUAUGAGAGACCCCAGUUGUUUUUUCUGGGAGCUUAGUGCAGCUUGACAGAGGCAGACAGGGAGCAGAGCAGAAACUGAGGUGUUGGUGUUGUUUCUAGGGUGGGCAGAGCAGGCGGUCUCCAGGUUGUGGUGCUGCCGUCUUGUAUGUAUGUAGGUGAGUGUGGAUGUUGGGUGAGUACAGCAUCUAGGAGCUCGUGGAAAAGCAGCUUUCUAGGUCUUGGCAAAGAAAACGGACUAGAAAGCUAUAUUUUUUAAGCGGGGAAAGGGGUUCAACAAAGGUCCAUCACUGUGUUCUCUCACCCCCCAACCAAUUGUCAGCUGGAAGUGAACCUAGUGAAAAAGAGGGGAAUCCUGUGCUAGGAGUCCCCAUAAACAUGUACUGUAAUUCUUUGUAUAUAGAAAAAAAUUACUGUAAAGU